AGCGAACGCUGGCGGCAUGCCUAACACAUGCAAGUCGAACGAAGCCUUCGGGCUUAGUGGCGCACGGGUGCGUAACGCGUGGGAAUCUGCCCUUGGGUGCGGAAUAACUUCUCGAAAGGGAUGCUAAUACCGCAUAAUGUCGUAAGACCAAAGAUUUAUCGCCCAAGGAUGAGCCCGCGUAAGAUUAGCUAGUUGGUGGGGUAAAAGCCUACCAAGGCGACGAUCUUUAGCUGGUCUGAGAGGAUGAUCAGCCACACUGGGACUGAGACACGGCCCAGACUCCUACGGAGGCAGCAGUGGGGAAUAUUGGACAAUGGGCGAAAGCCUGAUCCAGCAAUGACCGCGUGAGUGAUGAAGGCCCUAGGGUUGUAAGCUCUUUUAACCCGUAGGGGACUUGGAAUUAAUGACAGUACCUGGAGAAUAAGCU
rnacentral:rRNA from 1 species